UUUUGUAUAAUGGGUCAGCGACUUAUAUUCUGUAGCAAGGUUAACCGAAUAGGGGAGCCGAAGGGAAACCGAGUCUUAACUGGGCGUUAAGUUGCAGGGUAUAGACCCGAAACCCGGUGAUCUAGCCAUGGGCAGGUUGAAGGUUGGGUAACACUAACUGGAGGACCGAACCGACUAAUGUUGAAAAAUUAGCGGAUGACUUGUGGCUGGGGGUGAAAGGCCAAUCAAACCGGGAGAUAGCUGGUUCUCCCCGAAAGCUAUUUAGGUAGCGCCUCGUGAAUUCAUCUCCGGGGGUAGAGCACUGUUUCGGCAAGGGGGUCAUCCCGACUUACCAACCCGAUGCAAACUGCGAAUACCGGAGAAUGUUAUCACGGGAGACACACGGCGGGUGCUAACGUCCGUCGUGAAGAGGGAAACAACCCAGACCGCCAGCUAAGGUCCCAAAGUCAUGGUUAAGUGGGAAACGAUGUGGGAAGGCCCAGACAGCCAGGAUGUUGGCUUAGAAGCAGCCAUCAUUUAAAGAAAGCGUAAUAGCUCACUGGUCGAGUCGGCCUGCGCGGAAGAUGUAACGGGGCUAAACCAUGCACCGAAGCUGCGGCAGCGACACUAUGUGUUGUUGGGUAGGGGAGCGUUCUGUAAGCCUGUGAAGGUGUACUGUGAGGUAUGCUGGAGGUAUCAGAAGUGCGAAUGCUGACAUAAGUAACGAUAAAGCGGGUGAAAAGCCCGCUCGCCGGAAGACCAAGGGUUCCUGUCCAACGUUAAUCGGGGCAGGGUGAGUCGACCCCUAAGGCGAGGCCGAAAGGCGUAGUCGAUGGGAAACAGGUUAAUAUUCCUGUACUUGGUGUUACUGCGAAGGGGGGACGGAGAAGGCUAUGUUGGCCGGGCGACGGUUGUCCCGGUUUAAGCGUGUAGGCUGGUUUUCCAGGCAAAUCCGGAAAAUCAAGGCUGAGGCGUGAUGACGAGGCACUACGGUGCUGAAGCAACAAAUGCCCUGCUUCCAGGAAAAGCCUCUAAGCAUCAGGUAACAUCAAAUCGUACCCCAAACCGACACAGGUGGUCAGGUAGAGAAUACCAAGGCGCUUGAGAGAACUCGGGUGAAGGAACUAGGCAAAAUGGUGCCGUAACUUCGGGAGAAGGCACGCUGAUAUGUAGGUGAAGUCCCUCGCGGAUGGAGCUGAAAUCAGUCGAAGAUACCAGCUGGCUGCAACUGUUUAUUAAAAACACAGCACUGUGCAAACACGAAAGUGGACGUAUACGGUGUGACGCCUGCCCGGUGCCGGAAGGUUAAUUGAUGGGGUCAGCGCAAGCGAAGCUCUUGAUCGAAGCCCCGGUAAACGGCGGCCGUAACUAUAACGGUCCUAAGGUAGCGAAAUUCCUUGUCGGGUAAGUUCCGACCUGCACGAAUGGCGUAAUGAUGGCCAGGCUGUCUCCACCCGAGACUCAGUGAAAUUGAACUCGCUGUGAAGAUGCAGUGUACCCGCGGCAAGACGGAAAGACCCCGUGAACCUUUACUAUAGCUUGACACUGAACAUUGAGCCUUGAUGUGUAGGAUAGGUGGGAGGCUUAGAAGUGUGGACGCCAGUCUGCAUGGAGCCGACCUUGAAAUACCACCCUUUAAUGUUUGAUGUUCUAACGUUGACCCGUGAUCCGGGUUGCGGACAGUGUCUGGUGGGUAGUUUGACUGGGGCGGUCUCCUCCUAAAGAGUAACGGAGGAGCACGAAGGUUGGCUAAUCCUGGUCGGACAUCAGGAGGUUAGUGCAAUGGCAUAAGCCAGCUUGACUGCGAGCGUGACGGCGCGAGCAGGUGCGAAAGCAGGUCAUAGUGAUCCGGUGGUUCUGAAUGGAAGGGCCAUCGCUCAACGGAUAAAAGGUACUCCGGGGAUAACAGGCUGAUACCGCCCAAGAGUUCAUAUCGACGGCGGUGUUUGGCACCUCGAUGUCGGCUCAUCACAUCCUGGGGCUGAAGUAGGUCCCAAGGGUAUGGCUGUUCGCCAUUUAAAGUGGUACGCGAGCUGGGUUUAGAACGUCGUGAGACAGUUCGGUCCCUAUCUGCCGUGGGCGCUGGAGAACUGAGGGGGGCUGCUCCUAGUACGAGAGGACCGGAGUGGACGCAUCACUGGUGUUCGGGUUGUCAUGCCAAUGGCACUGCCCGGUAGCUAAAUGCGGAAGAGAUAAGUGCUGAAAGCAUCUAAGCACGAAACUUGCCCCGAGAUGAGUUCUCCCUGACUCCUUGAGAGUCCUGAAGGAACGUUGAAGACGACGACGUUGAUAGGCCGGGUGUGUAAGCGCAGCGAUGCGUUGAGCUAACCGGUACUAAUGAACCGUGAGGCUUAACCUUACAAC
rnacentral:rRNA from 1 species